ACGGGAGGCAGCAGUGGGGGAUAUUGCACAAUGGGGGAAACCCUGAUGCAGCGACGCCGCGUGAGUGAUGAAGUAUUUCGGUAUGUAAAGCUCUAUCAGCAGGAAAGAUAAUGACGGUACCUGACUAAGAAGCACCGGCUAAAUACGUGCCAGCAGCCGCGGUAAUACGUAUGGUGCAAGCGUUAUCCGGAUUUACUGGGUGUAAAGGGAGCGUAGACGGCAUGGCAAGCCAGAUGUGAAAGGUGGGGGCUCAACUCCCAAGCUGCAUUUGGAACUGUCAAGCUAGAGUAUCGGAGAGGUAAGUGGAAUUCCUAGUGUAGCGGUGAAAUGCGUAGAUAUUGGGAGGAACACCAGUGGCGAAGGCGGCCUGCUGGGCUUUAACUGACGCUGAGGCACGAAAGUAUGGGGAGCAAACAGGAUUAGAUACCCUGGUA
rnacentral:rRNA from 1 species